UAUUUUGACUAUACAAAGGUAUUGAAAUAAGAUUUUAAUUGAAUGCUAAGAGAAUGGACUCUCAGAGAAAAACUUUUUUUAAAUUAAAAAUUGAAAUUUUUUUAAUUUGUGCAGAAACAAUUAUUAAUAUUAAGGACAAGAAGACCCUAUGAAUUUAUUAAAUUUCAUUCAAUAUGUAAUUACUAUUGAAGAAAUUUUGGCUGGGGCGGCUAAAAAAUAUUUUAAACUUUUUAAAAAUAAAAUGAUCCAUUAUUAAUGAUUAUAUGUUAAAUACUCUAGGGAUAACAGCGUUAUAUUUUUUGAUAGACCAUAUUGACAAAAAAGUUUGCGACCUCGAUGUUGGAUUAGGAUACUUUUUUAAUGCAG
rnacentral:rRNA from 1 species